GGUAUCCUGUCUGAAUAUGGGGGGACCAUCCUCCAAGGCUAAAUACUCCUGACUGACCGAUAGUGAACCAGUACCGUGAGGGAAAGGCGAAAAGAACCCCGGCGAGGGGAGUGAAAAAGAACCUGAAACCGUGUACGUACAAGCAGUGGGAGCCUCUUUUAUGGGGUGACUGCGUACCUUUUGUAUAAUGGGUCAGCGACUUAUAUUCUGUAGCAAGGUUAACCGAAUAGGGGAGCCGAAGGGAAACCGAGUCUUAACUGGGCGUUAAGUUGCAGGGUAUAGACCCGAAACCCGGUGAUCUAGCCAUGGGCAGGUUGAAGGUUGGGUAACACUAACUGGAGGACCGAACCGACUAAUGUUGAAAAAUUAGCGGAUGACUUGUGGCUGGGGGUGAAAGGCCAAUCAAACCGGGAGAUAGCUGGUUCUCCCCGAAAGCUAUUUAGGUAGCGCCUCGUGAAUUCAUCUCCGGGGGUAGAGCACUGUUUCGGCAAGGGGGUCAUCCCGACUUACCAACCCGAUGCAAACUGCGAAUACCGGAGAAUGUUAUCACGGGAGACACACGGCGGGUGCUAACGUCCGUCGUGAAGAGGGAAACAACCCAGACCGCCAGCUAAGGUCCCAAAGUCAUGGUUAAGUGGGAAACGAUGUGGGAAGGCCCAGACAGCCAGGAUGUUGGCUUAGAAGCAGCCAUCAUUUAAAGAAAGCGUAAUAGCUCACUGGUCGAGUCGGCCUGCGCGGAAGAUGUAACGGGGCUAAACCAUG
rnacentral:rRNA from 1 species